rnacentral:rRNA from 1 species
GAUGAACGCUGGCGGCGUGCCUAAUACAUGCAAGUCGAGCGAACAGACGAGGAGCUUGCUCCUCUGACGUUAGCGGCGGACGGGUGAGUAACACGUGGAUAACCUACCUAUAAGACUGGGAUAACUUCGGGAAACCGGAGCUAAUACCGGAUAAUAUAUUGAACCGCAGGGUUCAAUAGUGAAAGACGGUUUUGCUGUCACUUAUAGAUGGAUCCGCGCCGCAUUAGCUAGUUGGUAAGGUAACGGCUUACCAAGGGAACGAUGCGUAGCCGACCUGAGAGGGUGAUCGGCCACACUGGAACUGAGACACGGUCCAGACUCCUACGGGAGGCAGCAGUAGGGAAUCUUCCGCAAUGGGCGAAAGCCUGACGGAGCAACGCCGCGUGAGUGAUGAAGGUCUUCGGAUCGUAAAACUCUGUUAUUAGGGAAGAACAAAUGUGUAAGUAACUAUGCACGUCUUGACGGUACCUAAUCAGAAAGCCACGGCUAACUACGUG